AGGAAAAAACACAGAGGACGAUAGUCUGAUUUCGCUUGAAGAACUCAAAAAUAAAGAAAAAUUAGCCAUGAAACUCAAGAAGGCAACAGCAGAAGAGAAAUCUCCAAAAUUUCUUCAACAUAAGAGAAUGAAGAAAUGGGUUGACAAGUCUGAUCAUAAUUGCUUCAUGUUGUUUGCAAGAUCACUCUACAUCACUUGGGGUGGUCACGAGAACUGGGUUUGGAAUUGUUUCAAGGAAACAGGAGAUGAAAAUGUGGAAGUAGCAAAACUAAGCCAUGUGUGUUGGCUGGAUGUGAAAGGAAAAUUUAGCAUAUCAGAACUCUCACCAGGAAUUGCCUAUGAGAUUGUUUAUGAAGUGAAGUUGACAAAUGGGGCAUCAGGAUGGGAACUGCCUAUCACCCUGAAACUGUCCCUUCCUAAUGGAGAAGUCCGAGAACGCCAAGUUGUUAUUCUUGAGAAGCCAAGAAAGAAAUGGAUAGAGCUCAACGUGGGCAACUUCUUAACAAAGCAAGGAGAGACGGGAGAAGUCUGCUUUGACAUCAUCGAACAUGGAGGACACUGGAAGAAGGGACUUUUCAUUAAAGGUGCCAUUAUUAGGCCAAAAAUGAUCACUACCCAAUAAUCAAAAUUAAUGCACAAAUAUGUACUUUGUUUAUUUUGAUCUUUGUUUGCUAUAAUCUUAUUAUUAAUUUGUAUGAUGAAUCUGGAGUUGGCUGUGCCAUUUUCAUGCUGUAUUCCUUAAAUAUUGGGUAAAAUAAUUUAUCUAAA
rnacentral:misc_RNA from 1 species